rnacentral:rRNA from 1 species
AACGAACGCUGGCGGCAUGCUUAACACAUGCAAGUCGAACGAGACCUUCGGGUUUCGUGGCGCACGGGUGCGUAAAGCCUGGGAACCUGCCCUUAGGUUCGGAAUCACCACCCGAAAGGGGUUCUAAUAACGGCUAAUGUCUUCGGACCAAAGAAUUAUCGCCUUUGGAUGGGCCCUCGUUGGUUUUGCUAGUUGGUAGGGUACAAGCCUACCAAGGCGACGUUCCAUAGCUGUUCUGAGAGGAGGAUCAGCCACACGGGGACUGGGACACGGCCCAGACUCCAACGGGAGGAGGCAGGGGGGAAUAUUGGACAAGGGGCGAAAGCCGGAGCCAGCAAGGCCGCGUGAGUGAGGAAGGCCUUAGGGUUGGAAAGCUCUUUUACGCAGGAGGAGAAUGACAGUACCGGGAGAAUAAGGUCCGGCUAACUCCGUG